CCUACGGGCGGCUGCAGUGAGGAAUCUUGCACAAUGGGCGCAAGCCUGAUGCAGCGACGCCGCGUGAAUGAUGAAGGCUUUAGGGUUGUAAAGUUCAGUAAGCAGGGAAGAAUAAGCAAGAGGUAAUAUUUCUUGUGAUGACGGUACCUGCCUAAAGCCCCGGCUAACUACGUGCCAGCAGCCGCGGUAAUACGUAUGGGGCGAGCGUUGUUCGGAAUUAUUGGGCGUAAAGGGCGUCUAGGCGGGAAAUUAAGUUAGGUGUGAAAGCUAUGGGCUCAACCCAUAAACUGCAUCUAAAACUGAUUUUCUUGAGUUCGGGAGAGGAGAGCGGAAUUCCAGGUGUAGCGGUGAAAUGCGUAGAUAUCUGGAAGAACACCAGUGGCGAAGGCGGCUCUCUGGCCUAGAACUGACGCUGAAGCGCGAAAGCGUGGGGAGCGAACAGGCUUAGAUACCCCGGUAGUC
rnacentral:rRNA from 1 species